AAUGAACGUUGGCGGCGUGGAUUAGGCAUGCAAGUCGAGCGCUCAUCAGCAAUGGUGGGAGCGGCGAACGGCGUAGUAAUGCAUCGGAACGUACCCUCUGGUCGGGGAUAGCUACGGGAAACUGUAGGUAAUACCCGAUGAACUCUGCGGAGCAAAGGUGAGAUUCCGCCGGAGGAGCGGCUGAUGUGAUAUUAGCUAGUUGGUGGGGUAAAGGCCUACCAAGGCGAUGAUGUCUAGGGGGUGUGAGAGCAUGGCCCCCACGACCGGAACUGAGAUACUGUCCGGACACCUACGGGUGGCUGCAGUCGAGAAUCUUCCGCAAUGGACGAAAGUCUGACGGAGCGACGCCGCGUGCGGGAUGAAGGCCCUUGGGUUGUAAACCGCUGUCAGAGGGGAUGAAAUCGUCGGAGGUACUCCUCCGAUGUUGACAGAGCCUCAAAGGAAGCACGGGCUAAGUACGUGCCAGCAGCCGCCGUACAC
rnacentral:rRNA from 1 species